CAAAAGUGGACGACAAUCGGUACUCAAUGAAAAUUUUUUUUGAGAUAAGGAAGCAAAAGUAUCUUGAGGCAUUGGAUAAGUAUGAUCGUUCCAAGGCUGUGGAUAUAUUAGUAAAGGAUUUGAAAGUUUUUGUCACAUUUAAUGAAGAGCUUUACAAGAAAAUCACUCAGCUCUUGACAAUGGAGAAUUUCAGGUGAUGACUGGGGUGUCUUUAAAAGUACUAUUUAUCAGCAGCGUAACAAUCAAAGCUACUGGUAGUCAUAUGUAUUUUUGUUUCGCUCUAUCAUUAUUCUAUUCUCUUUAUUUCAUUGACCAACAAAUGAACUAUGGCCUACUUGAUUACCUUCCUAUGAUGUUUUUCUAUGAUAUUCUUGUU